CGGUCCAGACUCCUACGGGAGGCAGCAGUAGGGAAUCUUCCGCAAUGGGCGAAAGCCUGACGGAGCAACGCCGCGUGAGUGAUGAAGGUCUUAGGAUCGUAAAACUCUGUUGUUAGGGAAGAACAAAUUUGUUAGUAACUGAACAAGUCUUGACGGUACCUAACCAGAAAGCCACGGCUAACUACGUGCCAGCAGCCGCGGUAA
rnacentral:rRNA from 3 species